rnacentral:rRNA from 1 species
GACGAACGCUGGCGGCAGGCCUAACACAUGCAAGUCGAGCGGAGCGGCGGACGGGUGAGUAAUGCCUAGGAAUCUGCAUGUUAGUGGUGGCUAACGUCCGGAAACGGGCGCUAAUACCGCUUACUAUCAGAUGAGCCUAGGGCGGAUUAGCUAGUUGGUGGGGUAAAGGCCUACCAAGGCGACGAUCCGUAACUGGUCUGAGAGGAUGAUCAGGCACACUGGAACUGAGACACGGUCCAGACUCCUACGGGAGGCAGCAGUGGGGAAUAUUGGACAAUGGGCGAAAGCCUGAUCCAGCCAUGCCGCGUGUGUGAAGAAGGUCUUCGGAUUGUAAAGCACUUUAAGUUGGGAGGCGGUACCAACAGAAUAAGCACCGGCUAACUUCGUGCCAGCAGCCGCGGUAAUUC